CCCGCUGAACUUAAGCAUAUCAGUAAGCGGAGGAAAAGAAACUAACAAGGAUUGCCUCAGUAGCGGCGAGUGAACCGGCAAAAGCUCAAAGUUAAAAUCUGCAGCACAGAGUUGUAGAAUUGUAAUCUUGAGGUGUUUUCGGAAGGCAUGAGUGCAGCAUAAGUUCCCUGAAAUAGGGCGCCAAAGAGGGUGAAAGCCCCGUAGUCGGCGGCACUCGGCUGUACGAAGAUAACCGCAGAGUCGGGUUGUUUGGGAAUGCAGCCCUAAAUGGGAGAUAAACUUCUUCUAAAGCUAAAUACAAACGGGAAACCGAUAGCGAACAAGUACUGCGAAGGAAAGAUGAAAAGAACUUUGAAAAGAGGGUUAAAAGACUUGAAACCGUUGAGAAGGAAGCGGUAGAAGAGCAAUUAAUUGACGGCGCUGUUGGGACGAGAGCAUGCCAACUGGGGAGUGGAAAGGACUUCAAAAGCCGUCCACCUCUAAGUGAAGCAGGCUCCGAACCUCCUUCGCCGCCAAAAGGCAAAAUGAGGUCUCCGCUGCCGGAAUCACUGUCCAUUAGACCCCGGUUACACUGGAAAAUGGAACAGAAAACGAGCAACGAGGCCUGAGGGUUACCUAGUGAGAUUUUGCCAAAAUGGCUUCUACUGACCCGUCUUGAAACACGG
rnacentral:rRNA from 1 species